GGCGCCUUAUAGAAUAUUGCAAACUCCCAGAAUCUCCAGAUCUCAAAGCCAUAGUUCCACUCCCACUUUCCUUCCAAGGAGGGCCUGGAACGCAAACUGCAUUCGGAUCUGCUGCUGACCUGACCGGGGCCUGACCUGUCCUACAGCGCCUUCUCUUCUUGGCCCUGAGAUCUGGACGCGUGGUCGCGGUGGGGUGGAAGCAGGGUCUCUGGGACCAGAAUGGAGGACACAGCCUAAGAUGAUUCUUUACCAGUGGAGCCCCAAGCCAGAAGCCUGGUCACCCAAGUUUGAAAAUGAGGAGAGCAUGCUGGCAGAAUAUAUGGCCUCCAAACACCCCAGUGAAAAGAAAU
rnacentral:lncRNA from 1 species